UUGGUUUGGGCCAAGGGGUAAAAGCCCACCGGUUUUGUUGGUUAAUUUUUGGGCCAAAAUAGCAGAUUGGCCUACUUCCAUUUGCCUUGGAUUUUCGGUUGGGCUUCGAAGGUUUUGGCCCAAGCAAAUAAGAAAAUGGUCCAAUGGUUUGGACCAUUAAGAAACCAGAAAAUGAUUUUGCAAAUCGGUCCUUGAAGUUCUCCUUAAUUGUACUGUGCCCCUGGAUAUUUUCAACUGCUUUCAAUUCAGUCCCUGGUUUAAUUGCAAAUGAGUCCCUGAACUUUAUUUUUCUUUAAUUUUGGCCCCAAAAUUUUGCCAAUCUUUGCAAUCAAGUCCUUUCUUUUCUUGACUUCUUAAAUGUGGGUUGUUGACAUGAUUUAAUUGAUUCAAAUUCAUGUUUAUUUUUAUUCUUUGUGAUUAUUUGUCAAAUAAAUUGGCACCUUGACUCCUUUGUUAUUUUGGAGGGUAAAUAAGUUGAUUUCACUCCAUUAGAGCUUCAUUUCAAGGGAGGUAUAAAUUCUUUUAUCCCUUUUGCCUCUCCUAUGUGAUCCAAUGUGCUAAGUGUGAAUCGCAUGCCUAAUUUGCUUUCAUUACCAUUCUUUAGUUCCAUUAUUUCAUUCAUUCUUGUUUUUAUUAAAUUAUUCUUUUAAAUGGGGUAUGUGUACACCUCUUGGCUUGUAAUAGAUAGGGUGAGCUUUCUUGUCCAUUUUCCCUUUCCCCCCUUUGUUUUAAUUAGCAAAUGUAAUAAGUUCAUUGCUUGCUUUCGCUGCUACGUGUUUAAUCGCUUUAUUAGGUCCUUGCAUCUAGUCAAGCAUGCUAAGUGUUAUGUGCUACGUGUUUAUAAGUGAUUCGCAUGUCUACUCGCUUUUUAUAGUCAUGAAUGAAUGUGAUGGAUGAAUGGACGUCACCACACUAGUCCAAUGCUAGUUGUGGCCCCCUUUCUCGUCACCACACUAGUCCAACGUUAGUUGUGGUUCAUUGUUCCGUUUCCACUAGUCCAAUGCUAGUAGAAAUCCAUAGAAAGGGCUAGUCCAACGCUAGACCCUUAGGGAUUUUUCCUCGUUAGUACAUGUUUGCAUGUUCAUCACAUGUCAUGCAUUCUUUUUAGUUUUAUCAUUUUGCAUGCCCCUCGAACCCCUUUUCCCUCCAUUUUUAGGAUUUUUGCAUUUCAUGCUAGUUAUAGGGUUCAUUUGCUUGAGAGUCCCCUUAAAUAUGGGAUAUAGACGAGUGUGGCUUUUUCUAAGCCUUAGCACGCUUGUAUCCUCUCUAUCAAAGGGCAAAUUGAGUCACGAUUUAGGUCUCCCCGUACCCAUUAUGCAUGAAUUCCCUAGGUUCAUGCAUCCACUCUAUCAUUACACUUUCAUUUUCUCCCCUCAUUUGCACACGUACACCUUUAUCCCUUCACUUGCACACGAACACUUCUCCCCUCAUUUGCACACGUACACCUUUUUAUCCCUUCACUUGCACACAAACACUUUUAUCAUCACUUGCACACAUGUACUUCAUAUUAUCAUUUCACACACCGCACCUUGCCCACUCACGUGCACAUUUCCAUUUACACAUUCUUAUCUUUUAUUACUUUUUCAAACGCAUGUCAUCACAUUGUAUACAUGCAUUCCAUUCAUUUGCAUCCCACUCGCAUUAUUCGUGACUUCUUCAAAGGAUCGUUAUUGGGCUUCACAAUUAAUGUGAUUGGCACCACUCAACCUUUGAAGGGAAAUUUCCCCC
rnacentral:lncRNA from 1 species